GAUGAACGCUAGCGGCGGGCUUAAUACAUGCAAGGCGAAGGGGCAGCAAUGUCACUGUCGUACGGGUGCGUAACGCGUAUGCAACCUACCUAUCACUGGGGGAUAGCCCGGGGGAAACCCGGAUUAAUACCGCAUAACACAGGGGCUCCUCAUGGAGAUAUUUGUUAAAGAUUUAUCGGUGGUAGAUGGGCAUGCGUUCG
rnacentral:rRNA from 1 species